AAUCUGUGUUGAGGACACAUCCGCAAAAAGUCCUUGAAUCGCUCCCAUGUCUCAAAAACGGACUUGAGCUCCAUCUGAACAAACGACGAAAUCUCAUUGCGAAGUUU